CUCUCCAUCUGCACAUCGUCGGAAAUGACAUUCACUGAAGGGGACAUGCCGGCAAUUCGGCUGUGGUGGUGUCUUCAGUUGAUGGAGAGAUUUUGCACUGACGGGCAUGGACAUAGAUUUGCGUUUUGGACGGAAGAAGCAUCUCUGCUUCUUCAGGGAACUCUCCAGCCAGUAUUCAGAGUUCGAAAGGCAACCACCUCCAAACCUUAAGAUGUUUUGACAACAGAAAGAAAGGAGGAACUGAGGACACUAUCCAGAGAUACCCACCGGGCUACUGCAAUCCCUUUUACUGACAAAUAAAUUAUGACUAAUUUCAUUUUUUUCUUGCCUUUUUAUUGAAACUAUUACUAUGCACUGUAACAUAACUCUAGCAGAGGAUAAUGACACAGCAUGAGGUUGUACGGGCUGUACAAGACUUAAGAC
rnacentral:lncRNA from 1 species